rfam:Dictyostelium fasciculatum unplaced genomic scaffold Scf_ETAJFTG02HR96I-5, whole genome shotgun sequence.
GUCGGGAAAGGUUGCGUGGUCCUAUUUUCCAAUUGCCUAUGGGAGACGUCAAAACAGGUGAAUAAUGACGUCUUUAGAAGUUGAGUGGAACAACCGAUCAUACAAAAUGUGCCUAUCAUUAGAUCCUAGUCAACAACGAAAUCCUUCGAACGUUGGAAAUCGUGGUUGUGUAAAGAAAAUGGUACUGAGCCAGGCUGGAUUCACAGAGCAGCUAAAACAUUUCGCUGGGAUUGGAACGGUAGAAUACACAUUAAGAUCGGCCACAAGACGACUAGAGAAACAGUUAGACCCUGUCUUUU